rnacentral:rRNA from 1 species
AGAGUUUGAUCCUGGCUCAGAGUGAACGCUGGCGGCAGGCCUAACACAUGCAAGUCGAACGGCAGCACAGGGGAGCUUGCUCCCCGGGUGGCGAGUGGCGGACGGGUGAGGAAUACAUCGGAAUCUGCCCAGUCGUGGGGGAUAACCUCGGGAAACCGGGACUAAUACCGCAUACGACCUUCGGGUGAAAGCAGGGGAUCGCAAGACCUUGCGCGAUGGGAUGAGCCGAUGUCGGAUUAGCUAGUUGGCGGGGUAAAGGCCCACCAAGGCGACGAUCCGUAGCUGGUCUGAGAGGAUGAUCAGCCACACUGGAACUGAGACACGGUCCAGACUCCUACGGGAGGCAGCGGUGGGGAAUAUUGGACAAUGGGCGCAAGCCUGAUCCAGCCAUGCCGCGUGAGUGAAGAAGGCCUUCGGGUUGUAAAGCUCUUUUGUCCGGAAAGAAAAGCUUUCGGUUAAUACCCGGAAGUCCUGACGGUACCGGAAGAAUAAGCACCGGCUAACUUCGUGCCAGCAGCCGCGGUAAUACGAAGGGUGCAAGCGUUACUCGGAAUUACUGGGCGUAAAGCGUGCGUAGGUGGUUCGUUAAGUCUGAUGUGAAAGCCCUGGGCUCAACCUGGGAAUUGCAUUGGAUACUGGCGGGCUAGAGUGCGGUAGAGGAUGGCGGAAUUCCCGGUGUAGCAGUGAAAUGCGUAGAGAUCGGGAGGAACAUCCGUGGCGAAGGCGGCCAUCUGGACCAGCACUGACACUGAGGCACGAAAGCGUGGGGGAGCAAACAGGAUUAGAUACCCUGGUAGUCC